CCUCACUUUCGAUCAAUUGUUUGCUCCAAGAGCUAACGUUGGAUGCAAAAAGUGGGUUCCUGUGUUGCAUACCUACUGCGGAGGAAAUUUGGGCCUUUAGUUUGUCCCUUCCAUCACAACGUCCUUUUGGAUGCUCGGUUGGACUAGAUAGUAGGGCUCGUGUUCCAAGAACAUCAUCUCAUUUGAUUGUUCGGAUGGACCAUGAGUGGCUACUUGUUCUCUCGGAUGCGGAACACUCUUCAUGGGUAUGGGGUCAUCGGCUCUUGUUCCCAAAUCUCUAAGCGUUUGUCGCUUUUACUGGAAUGACGCUCGUGCCUUGUCUUUGACCAAAGUGGAACUCUCGGGCUUCACAAUGGAUCAUGCUCGGCAGACGUCGUGAAGGAAUGCUACCUGGUUG
rnacentral:misc_RNA from 1 species